CAGUGUACCCGCGGCAAGACGGAAAGACCCCGUGAACCUUUACUAUAGCUUGACACUGAACAUUGAGCCUUGAUGUGUAGGAUAGGUGGGAGGCUUUGAAGUGUGGACGCCAGUCUGCAUGGAGCCGACCUUGAAAUACCACCCUUUAAUGUUUGAUGUUCUAACGUGGACCCGUUACCCGGGUUGCGGACAGUGUCUGGUGGGUAGUUUGACUGGGGCGGUCUCCUCCUAAAGAGUAACGGAGGAGCACGAAGGUUGGCUAAUCCUGGUCGGACAUCAGGAGGUUAGUGCAAUGGCAUAAGCCAGCUUGACUGCGAGCGUGACGGCGCGAGCAGGUGCGAAAGCAGGUCAUAGUGAUCCGGUGGUUCUGAAUGGAAGGGCCAUCGCUCAACGGAUAAAAGGUACUCCGGGGAUAACAGGCUGAUACCGCCCAAGAGUUCAUAUCGACGGCGGUGUUUGGCACCUCGAUGUCGGCUCAUCACAUCCUGGGGCUGAAGUAGGUCCCAAGGGUAUGGCUGUUCGCCAUUUAAAGUGGUACGCGAGCUGGGUUUAGAACGUCGUGAGACAGUUCGGUCCCUAUCUGCCGUGGGCGCUGGAGAACUGAGGGGGGCUGCUCCUAGUACGAGAGGACCGGAGUGGACGCAUCACUGGUGUUCGGGUUGUCAUGCCAAUGGCACUGCCCGGUAGCUAAAUGCGGAAGAGAUAAGUGCUGAAAGCAUCUAAGCACGAAACUUGCCCCGAG
rnacentral:rRNA from 1 species